rnacentral:rRNA from 1 species
UCUGUCACCGACGGGGCACCGCCGGACCACCCUCGCCGCCGCGCCGCCCGACCCUGCCCGACGGGCCACCCUGGGUCUAAAAAAAUGGACAAGGUUUAACCAGGUAACCGUAAGGAAUCCGAGGUUUCCGUUCCUGUUUUAUGUUUUGUGUUGGAAAGAUUUUUCGGUCAUGGAUGGACUCCCGGCCUAUCAGCUUGUUGGUGAGGUAAUGGCUCACCAAGGCGACGACGGGUAGCCGGCCUGAGAGGGUGACCGGCCACUCUGGGACUGAGACACGGCCCAGACUCCUACGGGAGGCAGCAGUGGGGAAUAUUGCACAAUGGGCGAAAGCCUGAUGCAGCGACGCCGCGUGAGGGAUGACGGCCUUCGGGUUGUAAACCUCUUUCAGCAGGGAAGAAGCGAGAGUGACGGUACCUGCAGAAGAAGCACCGGCUAACUACGUGCCAGCAGCCGCGGUAAUACGUAGGGUGCGAGCGUUAUCCGGAAUUAUUGGGCGUAAAGAGCUCGUAGGCGGUUUGUCGCGUCUGUCGUGAAAGUCCGGGGCUUAACCCCGGAUCUGCGGUG